CGGGGCGGCCCCAGGCGGGCAGCGCCGGCAGCCGCGUCCCGGCUGGAGCCGGAGGAAGUUGGGAACAAAAAUAUCGUGUCCGUGUUUGCAGCCCAGGGGUUUCUUUGUGCGCUCGCGGCGCUUCCCGCCGCGUUCUGCCCUCCGUGCAGUUUGUUUUCCCUUUUUUUUUUUUUUUUUUUUUUAUUGCUCGAAGAAUUUACUCUGAACAAGAGGAAAAGAAGAAAAGCCUUAGUAAUUGUUGCAAAGGUUUUCAGAACGUAGUGUUUAAGUGACGAGCGAAAAGCAGUUUUUCUCUUGCUAGUUGGUGAGUUUGUGGAAAUUCAGGGUGAUGCUGCCGGCAGUGCAGUUGCAGGAUCUUUAUUAUAGUCAUGCCUAGGUGACCAAAGGCAUGCCAUUUGUUAAAUUCUCUCCAUGCGGAGUUACAAAAUCAGGAAUCCUGGUAAAAUGCAGUGAAGGAUUUAAGGUCAUCAUCUGUCUCUCCCUAACUUCUGACAUCUCUUUAUAACAAGAAAGAGUCACAGCCAACUGUAACAGGAGGGCAACACAAUGAAUCCCGAUCCCAGCUUUCUACUCAAGGACUGGGGAAGGAUCUCAGCCAUGGGAGAAGCAUGGACUGUAAAUAAACUCAGAAGAUGAUCUAAGAGGACAAAGUCAUGAAAACGGCUAGCAAGUAGUUUGUGCUUCAGGCUGGAUUAUUUUGCGCAAGUCAUACUUUGCUUAAGCUGCAUCUGAAAUCUGAAGCUGAUCUGUCUGGCAAACCUACUGAUGUCUACGUUGUCAAAAUACAUGAGACAACAUUUCAUUUCUCCAAAUUUCCAUUCAUUUCAUUGCCUUAUUUUCUUUCUUUUCCUCCCACACCGGGAUGACAUUUUGAAGCAUACUUUAAAGAGCAUAAUUUGAUCAAAUGAUCCAAGGGAACUCCCUAUAGACAUCCAUGAUUUAACGCUAGAUCUGUUCUAAAGGUUGGCAUGUCUGACAAUGGAAAUUGGUUUAACCCCAGUUAAUUUCUAGAUAAUAAAUGUGGUGUGUUUUUCAGAGUCAGGAUGGGAUUUUGUUUACACAGCUCAGUCAGAAAUAUAUCAAACAAGGACAGGGCCCAGCUGGGUAUGGCGGUGAGCACGCUGAGCAUCCCAGCCUAGGCAGAAGCAGAAGGGGCUCAGCACCUUCCUGGAGCCAGCCCUUGUACAUGUCCUCCCGUGAGGUCCUUGUAGGUGACUUCCAGGUGACUUCAAGGAGACUGGGCAGGAAUUCAGUGUUCGUCUGAUUUAUGGUUCGGUACAAUAGAUACUUUGUGCUCUGAAAACAAGUAGGGUCAGCACUUGAAUCUGAAUUUUUGUCCUCCCUUUCUCUUCUCCAUUUGGGAUUUCAUCUCCUAGCUCACAGCACAUGCACUGGAAGCCAGAUCAGCUUUUUUUAUUAGGUUAGAAUUUUUCUCCUAGUCCUGACUCACAUCCCUGCAGGCUUUGGGUUCCUCUGCUCUGUAUCCAUUUAUCACUUUUUUUCAAAGGGAAGAAGGCAACUUUUGGUAUGGGUGCAAAACUCAGAAGAGGUCUGUGCCGAAUAAGAGCAAGAACACAGCUGCACAAGACUCAGCACACUUCUUAUAGACAAAAUGCAAUGAAGGGAAAGAUGACACUUUAAGCUAAAUCAGACAUCAUUAUACAAUACUUUUCCCAUUCAGCUUGCUCUAGCAGGAAUAUGUAUGUGCAGCGGCAGCACUUGGGACAUGAAGAGCUACUUUGAAAGUAGAUGCGUUUCCCAGUGUUUGAGGUGUGGAUGGAGAGUAAGAAAAACGGCUGUCCCUGCAGAGGUGCCCCCAGCAGGAAUGGCUUCUGUGAAGACCUGCUUUUGUGUCCUUAAUGAGAAUGCAACCUGGAAUGGCUCAGAGUAAGCUCAGUUUGCAAGAAGCAUUUCAGACCAACAUCCACUGCCUGAGAAGGUUUCCAGAGGCUGGGCAGAGACGGUCAGCAUCAUAAACAGCCCAAGCUACAGCAAGGAGACCCAGCAGAAGUACACAGACAAAACCGUCCACAUUCCCUCUACCUGUGAAGAUGAGGCAGCGAGGCACAUGUCCCCUCCCUCUCUGACGUGAGGCCUGAAAGUCAUUAGGGAAAGGACUGUCCUGAGGACCGCAUGGCUGCACGUACACGUGUAUGCACACACAGUCGUAAAUGGGAGUUUGUGCAGGGUCCGUGCUGUACUGGGCUGUGGAAGUGACCUUUUCUCUUUCAGACAGACCAACAUGAACGGUGCCUGGGGGUGUUAGGCAGGUGGUCGGGUCCUUCACCCUCAGCCUCUUUACUGUUUUUAUUUUGGCUUCCAAGACCUGAAAUACUGGAGGUGUUAAGAGGUGAUACUACAGUCAAAGACUUCUUAUUGACAAAAGGGAACACACUGCAUGUAUGGACCUAAGAAUGUAUUGUUAGUCUAAUAAAUGUUUUAAAUAGUCUAAGAGUCAAAAUUACCAAAUUAAUACAGGAAGGCCUCAUUAAAAAUAGAGUUAAAGGUAUUAGACAGAAUUUCCCUGUUCGCUUGUGUUGUGCUUACUCCUCCAGGGUGCCUUUGGGUCGGAAGAUUGACACUUUGGUAUUUCUCAGAAGGAAUGGGGGAGUAUUGUGUCAGUGUUCACAGAUGCACACCUUUAAUAACAGAGACGCGACUGUUUUAUAUCUCCAAAGUUAUCCGAACAGCUUUUUGAGACAUAUUGAGCAUAAGUGACAAUGUUUAUGAAGCGCUCUGAAGAUGCAAAAGAUAUGCAAGUGCAGCUGAUGUCACCUGACAACAUUCGCUUACUAUUAAGGCUUUUCAGCCAGAAGACUAUCCCAAAGGAAAUUACUGUCAGCAGCCAAAAAGAGUAUCAGUAAUUCAUCCUCAAGCACCGUCAACUUAAUUCUAAAGUGAUGUCGCUGCUUUACAAGUUCAGGCUGAAGCGGUCACCAAAUAGCUGUCAUAUGGUUGUUACUGCCUUUGACCGAGUCUGGUACAGCUAACAACAGGAAUGAAUUCAAUUUCCCGUCACCAAUCUGUCGAGCUGGCCACCUUCUUCAUGGAGCUGCUGCUCUGGGAGGUGCCAGCUGAAGGGCUUUCCAUUAAAAUUCAUUUUACUGUCUUCAUCUAGCGAAUGGCUCAACUUUCCUUCUUUCAUCUCUGUUUCCUCCUUUAGAUUAUUUUUCAUUAUGCCUCCCCCCCAACGUACAGACACUUUUCCUUUCAUCUCUAUAUGUAUGCUAUUCCAGCACUUGUCAGCCACAGCAGGAGGGACAUGGUAGAACCAAACAAUAUGAUAUGUUAGGUGGAAGAAAAUAUUAUUAUCAGACGCCUCAGAACAAUCAUUUAUUGUCACACUUUAAAGAGGUCUGCUAUGUUAUUUAUUUUAUUAUUCUGUAUUAGGUACAUGGUUUAAUUUUACAGGCAUUAUUAAUCACUGAAAUACAUUACACUUUCAGCCAGGAUGUUAACAUUUUAAAUGCAUUCAUCUUGCUUCUUUAAACAGAAACAAUGGGCCUUCUGCAGUGCCCUCCCUCCCCUUUAGUCAAUAAAUCCUUUCUAUUGAUUCAGGAAAUAACUCUAAGCACUGUUUUAUAUUUUAAGUUCUACUAGCCAGGCUCAGCCAUAUAAUUUUGCUUAAUAACAAGUGGAUAUUCUAGUUUUGCUGGUUACUAUGUGUUUGGUUAUCAAACUCAGUUUGAAUGUACUGGGUAGCAAAGCACAACACUUAUAAAGGCAGAGAGGCACCACAAGAGAUUUCCUAAAUGAAUGUUACAACAAAAUAAAGUAUUAAAAAAAAAAAAAAAGUGUGUGUGUAUGUAUAUGUGUAAGAAGCAGCCUCAUCAGUAGAUGAAUGAUAAAUGAAAAAUCCAUCAGUGAGUAUGGAUUCCCUUGAGCCAGCUUGGAUCAACAGACGAUAUGGAUUUUUGAUAAUUCAUGGCUUUGCCAUUAUUUAUUCUCUCCUGAAAUACCCAUUGCAAAUCUCAGAGAGAUAAUUAGAGAAUUAUCAUAUUGCUUAACUAAGUAGUGCAAAUUGUAUUAUAUUCUAUGUAUCCCAACGCAGGGCAGUAUCAUUAGCAUCGUUUAAUUGUUGCAAAUAUAGUCAUUGCAUUUUAAUAAAUUGUCUUCAUUGUCAAUAUCUACGAUUGACUAUUUCUCUUCUCUUAAUGUUCCUGGAUAGGUUAGUUACCAGGUAAUCUUACAGUUAAUAUAUACCACAAUGAGGCAAAAUGUAAGAAAAUGCAAAGGUCAAAAACAUGUUUCUAUUAUGAAAAAAAUGAAUGAUAAUGACAUAAUUUUUUCAGCUCAUCAGGUUCUUUGCUAAGUGCCUCUGUUAUUGCCAGAUCAGUAGUGUAUAACAAAGAAGUGCUUUCUGUGGACUGCUUCAUUAGCCUGCCCUGUAGGACCUCACCUCAGACCUUUCACUAAUCUGUUGGCCAGCUCAAUAGCCUUGUUAGUUCUAUUCACUUCUUCCUGGCAGCGGCUUUUCUCAGCUGUAGCUCUC